GUGCCAGCAGCCGCGGUAAUUCCAGCUCCAAUAGCGUAUAUUAAAGUUGUUGUGGUUAAAAAGCUCGCAGUUGAACCUUGGGCCUGGCUGGCCGGUCCGCCUCACCGCGUGCACUGGUCCGGCCGGGCCUUUCCCUCUGUGGAACCCCAUACCCUUCACUGGGCGUGGCGGGGAAACAGGACAUUUACUUUGAAAAAAUUAGAGUGCUCCAGGCAGGCCUAUGCUCGAAUACAUUAGCAUGGAAUAAUAAAAUAGGACGCGCGGUUCUAUUUUGUUGGUUUAUAGGACCGCCGUAAUGAUUAAUAGGGACAGUCGGGGGCAUCAGUAUUCAACUGUCAGAGGUGAAAUUCUUGGAUCAGUUGAAGACUAACUACUGCGAAAGCAUUUGCCAAGGAUGUUUUCAUUAAUCAGGAACGAAAGUUAGGGGAUCGAAGACGAUCAGAUACCGUCGUAGUCUUAACCAUAAACUAUGCCGACUAGGGAUCGGACGGUGUUAUUCAUGACCCGUUCGGCACCUUACGAGAAAUCAAAGUGCUUGGGCUCCAGGGGGAGUAUGGUCGCAAGGCUGAAACUUAAAGAAAUUGACGGAAGGGCACCACCAGGGGUGGAGCCUGCGGCUUAAUUUGACUCAACACGGGGAAACUCACCAGGUCCAGACACAAUAAGGAUUGACAGAUUGAGAGCUCUUUCUUGAUUUUGUGGGUGGUGGUGCAUGGCCGUUCUUAGUUGGUGGGGUGACUUGUCUGCUUAGUUGCGAUAACGAACGAGACCUUAACCUGCUAAAUAGCCCGCAUUGCUCCGGCAGUGCGCUGGCUUCUU
rnacentral:rRNA from 1 species